GAUGUUAGCGGCGGACGGGUGAGUAACACGUGGGUAACCUGCCUGUAAGACUGGGAUAACUCCGGGAAACCGGGGCUAAUACCGGAUGCUUGAUUGAACCGCAUGGUUCAAUUAUAAAAGGUGGCUUUUAGCUACCACUUACAGAUGGACCCGCGGCGCAUUAGCUAGUUGGUGAGGUAACGGCUCACCAAGGCAACGAUGCGUAGCCAACCUGAGAGGGUGAUCGGCCACACUGGGACUGAGACACGGCCCAAACUCCUACGGGAGGCAGCAGUAGGGAAUCUUCCGCAAUGGACGAAAGUCUGACGGAGCAACGCCGCGUGAGUGAUGAAGGUUUUCGGAUCGUAAAACUCUGUUGUUAGGGAAGAACAAGUACCGUUCGAAUAGGGCGGUACCUUGACGGUACCUAACCAGAAAGCCACGGCUAACUACGUGCCAGCAGCCGCGGUAAUACGUAGGUGGCAAGCGUUGUCCGGAAUUAUUGGGCGUAAAGCGCGCGCAGGCGGUUUCUUAAGUCUGAUGUGAAAGCCCCCGGCUCAACCGGGGAGGGUCAUUGGAAACUGGGGAACUUGAGUGCAGAAGAGGAAGUGGAAUUCCACGUGUAGCGGUGAAAUGCGUAGAGAUGUGGAGGAACCCAGUGGCGAGGGGACUCUCUGGUCUGUAACUGACGCUGAGGCGCGAAAGCGUGGGGAGCGAACAGGAUUAGAUACCCUGGUAGUCCACGCCGUAAACGAUGAGUGCUAAGUGUUAGAGGGUUUCCGCCCUUUAGUGCUGCAGCAAACGCAUUAAGCACUCCGCCUGGGGAGUACGGUCGCAAGACUGAAACUCAAAGGAAUUAGAC
rnacentral:rRNA from 1 species